UUCUCUUUCUCUCUCUUCCCCUCUUUCCUCUUUCUACUCUUAAAUUCUCUCAUCCCACAUUCGUCGAUGUUCCUAGAAAUUCACCCAUAUUCAUCGCCAUUCCCAUAAACCUCAAGAACAAAAACCAAAAUUCAAGAAUACCUUCAAACACAACCUAGAAAACCCAUCCAAAUGAACCUAGAAAUUAAAAUACUCAAGAAACUCUUCUCGAGCCUUAAUUCCCACCAACAAAAUCAAGAACUUCACCCAAAAUUAUGAACACAUUCACCCCUCUUAAUAAUUUCCUUCAACCAACAUCCAAUAAUCCUAGAAAAUGAAAUCCAAAAAUCCACCUCUUCAAGAAUCUCACCUUCAACCUUAAUCCAAAACAUCAAAAAUCAAGAACAAUAUCUCAUUCACUACCUCAUUUCUCCACACAAAAUCAUAUUUCACGCCAACUUCAUCAUAAUCCAAAACCUUACCUCAUAUCCUCUUCCAUUUUCUACAAUCGUCAAGUCAAACCAAUUUGGACCAAUCUCUCCUCAACAAAUUUAUUCUCUAUCCAAAAACUCCAGAUCCAAACAUUUUCCCUUCUUCAUCCUUCGAACCCUAACUCUAAAUAUACCCAUAAACUUUGAACCCUAAUCCUCAUCCCUCUCAUCAACUUCAAACCCUAUCUUUUUUUCAUCCUCAUGUAUGAUUCCACCUACUUAGACUUCGGUACAAAUUCCUCAAAUUCAUAUUAUCUCCAUCCCAAUGAAAACCCAUCCACUGUCCUUGUUACGGCCCUUCUCGACCACAAAAAUCACAACUCAUAGUCUCGUGUAAUGAAAGCUGCCCAAUUUCCAAAAAUAAUAUAUGUUUCAUUGAUGAAACUUUUUCUCAACCUCUUAUCAUCACACCCUCUCUGGUCCUUAGCUCCACUGUAAUAACAUGGUCCUCUCCUAACUUCACCAUUCCAUAUCUGACUACAACGUCUAAUCCAUCUCAUGGAUCGAUAUUGCUCAUGAAGUUUAGAAAAUGUUAGGAAAUCAUUUCUCUCAAGGUAACAUUUUUUAAAAUUUUGUCCUUCAAGACAAUCUCACCCACCUUCAUCAGGGUUCUUUAGAUGCUUUACCCACCUCAAAAAGCUGACUUUUGUCUGGGAGAAAAUUGAUUUUCUCCGACCCACUUGAGAUUUUGCAUGUGUUAUACCUUACACAUGUGGAGUUGCAUCUGGUCUUCGAAAGUACAAAACUCAAGAUCGUAUAAUCAAAUUCCUAAAUGGUCUCAAUGAACCAUUCUCCAUAGUUCAGUCUCAAAUCCUUCUGCUCGACCCCUUUCCUUCUCUUGACAAGGUUUAAUUAAUGGUCAUUGGCUUGGAAUGAUGUUCAUAUACUCUUUCUCUCUUUUAUAAUCCCACCAUGGCUAUGCAUUUUUAACCCAUUCCCACUAUUGGGAGAGCUCGUGGUGCCAACUCUUAUUGUGGUAGAGGUCGCUCUAAUACUAGAUGUGGAUCUUCCUCUCAACGAGUUUGCACUCAUUGUGGAUGCACAAAUCAUGCUAUGAAGACUUAUCUCAUGAAGCACGAUUAUCCACCAGGUUAUAAUUAAAAAAGCACAAAAGCUUAUAUCAAUAACACCAUUGAUUCCACUCCUAUUGACGUUUCUUCAAAUUUUCCUCAAAACUCUUAGAACUCUCUAGUUGCUAUCCAAGAUCAAUAUAAAUGAUAUCCUUCAACUUCUUCACCAACGAGUAUCUUCUCCUUCUCCUGAUGUGUCUGAUACUUCCCUUAUCCACAUUAACUCUGGCUCCACCUCCGUGGAUGGUAAGCCACAUAAGAACUCCAAUAAAGUGAUUGGUUCAGCUGGUAGACAUGGGGACCUAUAUGUUCUUCAAGCUCAGGUCAUAUAUUUUUCCCCUUUGCCAUUUCACUUGUUAUUAUGUUCAAUUAGUUUCUUUUAGUCUUUGGAAUGGAUGAUUAGGGCAUCCCUCUAAUUCAAUUCAUAAAACUUUAUCUUCUAUUUUCCUAACAUCACUCAUAGCAUUAAAAAAGAUUUUUCUUGUCACUUUUGUCACUUAGCUAAGCACAAACAUUUACCAUAUUAUGAUAGUAUUAACAUUACUUCUAAUGGCUUUACUCUUUUACAUGUUGGCAUUUGCGGACCCUACUCAAUCCCUUUUGUCAUUAAUAAGAGAUAUUUUCUAAUCGUUUUUUAUGAAUAUACUUGAUUUACUUGGGUUACUUUUAUGACCCAUAAGAGUGAAACUAGAAAUCAUUUACUUAAUUUCAUUUCAUUUAUAAACACCCAGUUUUCUUCCAAGUUAAAAUGUAUUCUCAUAGACAGUGGAAAAAAAAAUUAAUAACUCCCAAGGAAUCUUACAUCAUAGAUCAUGUGUGGAAUGCCCUAAAAAAUAUCAUUAUUGGAAGGAAACGUCAACACAUCCUCAAUGUCUCAAGAUCCCUGUUCUUUCAAGAAAACAUUGUUGGUGUAAGUCCUAGAGGCCAAUACUUUUGGUACUUACAUCGAAUUAUUUAUUAAUAAUAAAAGGUUUUUUCUUUAUUAUGUUUAUUUAAUAAAGUCACUAGAAUAGCUAGCCCAUUUAAUGAAUCAAGUGUGACUUAAUCAUGAGAUCCCAUUAAACAUAAGGACAUUAUUCUUAAAGCAUCUGUAGUCGAGCUUUGUUUUAAAGUGGGAUAAUAUUAAAGCAUUAAGACUAUUAUGUAUAUAGACUGAUGAUCACGUCUCAUGGAUCAUGGAUAAGGAGUUAUCAAGUCUUAAACAUAGGUAUUAAUAUUAAGAGUAAUAUUUAUACUGGAUUGACCCACUAUGAGAAUACUAUAUAAAAUGUUAUGCAAAGUGUCAUAAGUUAUUCUCAUGGUGAUAGUGGUGUAUACCACCCUUCGAUCUAAAACCACUAUGGACCCUAGAUGUUGAGUCGAGUGCCUUAUUGCUGAUCAAACAUUGUUCGUAACUGGAUGACCAUAAAGACAGUUGAUGGGUAAUCCACGAAGCAUGAUGAGGGACAUGAGUGACCUAGAUGGAAUUUGCCCAUCCUGCGUAACAGAAUAAAUGUCUAAGGGCCCAAUAUUGAACUGGACAAGGAUUACAAGGUCUAUGCCUUGUGUUCAAUAUAGACAUAAGGAUAAAUGAGUAAUUGUACACAUAAGUAUUAGCACAAAAGAUUUGUCAGAUCAUAUGACAUUUUCGUGUCUCAGGUAGAACUGAUGUGUUGCUAGAUACCGCUCACUGUUUAUUAUGUUAAAUACAUGAUUUAAUAUAAUUACCAAUGUCGCGAGAACCUACAGGGUCACACACAAAAGGACGGAUUGAUGAGAGAUAAAUUAAAUAAGGAACACCGUAAGAUACAAUGCACUUAAGUGAAUUGUAGAACAUCGUAAGGUACGGUGCACUUAAGUAGAAUACGAAAUAUGGUAAGAUACCACAUGCUUAAGUGAUUUUGGUAUAUCAUAAGAUAUGCGCCACAUACACUUAAGUGGGCUUUUUAGCUUACAACCCGCACAAGUGGUUCUAUAAAUAGAACCCUUGUGUAGAAGCAUUUGUGUACAUGAAAUUUCGUUUCUCUCUCUCUCUCUCUCUCACACACACACACACACACACACACACACACUCAAAGACUUCAUUCGUAGCAGCUAGCACUGAGAUUGAAGGAAUCCGUUCGUGUGGAUUGAGUAGAGGCGUUGUCACCAUUCAACGUUCGUGAUCACUCCUUAGAUCUACAUCAAAGGUUUCAAUCACCACAAGAGGUAACGAUUCUAUCACUGAUCAUGCCCAUUCGUAAGGAUCACUAAAGGAUAAUUUUUUUUAUUUUUGUUACGUUUUGGAUCGCCAUUCGUAAGGAACCACUGUCCGCUAACCGUGCAGCAAGACCCACGACUAACUUUGCGUAGUGUGAUCGGUUGCUGAAAUUUAAUUUGGUUUAUUUAAUUAACAGAAUUUAAAUUAAUAAUAAUAAUAUGUUUAUUAUUAUUGUCUUGUGGUGAUUGGUUAUGGCCUUAGAUUUCCUUUAUUUUGUUUUGGGAUUUUAAAAUACGACCUGCAUGUCGUGCCUCUCUUUUAAUCUCUUAAUGUAAAUUCUUUUCUCAUCUCACUCCCUCGUAUGUAAAACGAGUUUCUUUUAUGUAAUGUAAUGUUAUGAAUAAAGAGAAGAAUACAAUAUCAAAGGAGGAUAACCUUGAAGAUCUUGCUUGGAGAAGCUUAAAUUGUUAUUAGGUUAGCUUAGGUUCUCUCAUUGGCUUAGGAGAACAAUUGCGCUAGGGGCCAUAACUGUUUCAUUUUGUAUGUAUGUUGAUGCAUGUGAAUGCAUGUUGAUGCAUGUGGGAGACGAUUUAUAUGAUAAAUAAGCCGGUGAGAUCAGAAUAA